AUGUGGGAUCACAAGACUGCGACCGUACAAGGCAAAAGUAAUAAAGGCGGCAAACCGGCGAGGGGCAGGAAGGAAGUGUGAUUGCCAUAGGAAAUGUGUUAUUUUGCUUCCGCUUAUUGUUUUUUUUAGGUUUAAGACGUUGUAUUGAAACUUAGCUUACAAACUUUUAUUUGUAAAUAGUACUUUUUUUAAGUUUUUGGAAUAUUUGAAAAUCAGGCCUGACUUAAA